UGAAUUGAAUCAGUUACUUAACACUAACUUGAAUGUAAGAGAAACUAUGGCUUUCAAAAUAUUUUGGAAAUAACAGUAUACAACUGCCAUUGCAACAUUUCUGAUGACGUAAAUGAAAAAACCAUGUAUUGUAAUGCAUUUUGAGAAGAAUAUAUGACAUACAAUACUUGAUAUGUUGAUAUUUACAGUAGUUUGUCUAUAAUUAUCAUCUUGUACAUUAAUUACAUACUAAUCUGUGAUCUAAUGAAUAAUGUCUUACAUUAAGUAAGACAAUAUAUGUUGUUUACAAAUCCUUUUUUUCCCCCCAUGAAUCUCGUCCAUACCCUUAUUGAUAACAGUACGGAUCCCUUGUAUGGAUGUGUAUCAUAAAGUCAUUACCUUCUUUAUGUUUUCAUUUCUGCAUAGCAUAGUGAAGAAAAAACUCAAGAGAAGCUACACACCACAAUGAAUUGGUGUCUAAGGGUCCCUAAUUAUCGAUCACAGAAAUAAUCUGAUAACUAAUCUUAGGUUUUUUCAUGUGCAUUAAUGAAUGAAUAAUGCAGUAAGAUCUUGCUUGUCUGUCAACAGGUAGAAGCCAUCUCAGCAGUAGUUGCCACACAGAUUCUGUUAGGCAGACAAAGAGACCUGAAAUCGAAGAGCCGAUUUCUUCGUCAUGAGAUACUAUUACUUCCUUACAACGCACCAAAUCACUGGGUUCUUGCAAUAGCACUGAUGGGUACACAAGAACUGCUAAUAAUUGAUCCAUUGUGUGAAGAGAUGAGCUAUGAAAGAAAAUUUCUUAGAAACUGGAGAAACUUCAUCAAAGUAGAAGAGCGCCAAUCAUCAUCAAAUUAGAAGUCUAAUUAUUAGCCAUAAUAGACAAAUUGAUGGGCACAACUGCGGACCAUUCAUCAUAAAGUUUGCAGAAACGUAUUUGCAGCUGAAAGACAUCAGGUCUGUGGACAUAUCAGAGGAGGCAAAAAAUGAGUUUAGAUGACACAUAGCAAUUCUCCUAAUGAAGGAGUCAGAAAGCAUAGAAGAAUUCUGCAUAUAUUGCAAUAGGAUCAAUUGUGAAAAGAAAAGUGAGGAAUGCACUAUGGUCCAGUGUGAUUCCUGCAAGAGGUGGGUACAUAUGCCGUGCAUUCCGGAAGGAACCAAUGAAGAAAUGAUCAAUGAUGAGAAGACAGAAUGCAAGUGCCAAAAAUGUUCUUAGUGCAGUUCUACUUCAUAAAGCUGACAAGAUGUGUAAAUAGAUUUUGAUACCAUGAAAUAAUAAACUUUUAAAAUAUGAA